rnacentral:rRNA from 1 species
UACGUAGGGGGCUAGCGUUGUCCGGAUUUAUUGGGCGUAAAGCGCGCGUAGGCGGCUUUGUAAGUUAGAGGUGAAAGCCUGGAGCUCAACUUCAGAAUUGCCUUUAAGACUGCAUCGCUUGAAUCCGGGAGAGGUGAGUGGAAUUCCGAGUGUAGAGGUGAAAUUCGUAGAUAUUCGGAAGAACACCAGUGGCGAAGGCGGCUCACUGGACCGGCAUUGACGCUGAGGUGCGAAAGCGUGGGGAGCAAACAGG